GGGCCGCUAGCUCAAUUGGUAGAGCAGCGGGCUUUUAACCCGUCGGUUCCGGGUUCGAGUCCCGGGCGGCCCACCA
rnacentral:tRNA from 1 species